GCCUAGAAUCUAUGGUUAAAAUUUCACAAUUUUUGGACACCGUUUUUUAGGGUUUUUGAUUUUUUUUCCAAAGAUUGCUUGGUGCUGAUUCAGCAUAGCGGACGUGUCCGGUAUUUGCUGAUUGCACUCAGUUCGGCAGCACCGCUUUGCUCGUUUGAGGUCCGUUCUUGGUUCCAUCUUUUGCAAUGGGUUUCUACCAUUUCAAGGAACUUAUCUAGAUACUCUUUGUCACAAGUUGACUUGGGUAGUUUAGAUUCGAGAGCUCAUUUCUCUUUAAUAGGAGUUGAGUAUCUCUUCUUCUCUCAAUUGAUUCGGGAAAGUGAUUUUGGGAUAGCGGUCGAAAGUUUCACAAGAAAUUUAAGGCUCCCAUUCAUGCCCCCUUUGGUCGCCGUUUCUGGUUCUUUAAUUG
rnacentral:lncRNA from 1 species